rnacentral:tRNA from 1 species
GAAAUAAUUAAAGUUAAUCUUCUAAAUUAAUUAUAAAUGACAACCAUCAUUUUUAUUUCU